rnacentral:rRNA from 1 species
CGGACCCUACUGCUAUCAGAGUGGGACUAAGCCAUGCGAGUCAACAUAGCAAUAUGUGGCAUACGGCUCAGUAGCACGUAGUCAACAUGCCCAGGGGACGUGGAUAACCUCGGGAAACUGAGGAUAAACCGCGAUAAGUCACUACUUCUGGAAUGGGUAAUGACUAAAAUCUACAUGGCCCCUGGAUUGGACUGCGGCCGAUCAGGCUGUUGGUGAGGUAAUGGCCCACCAAACCUGUAACCGGUACGGGCUCUGAGAGGAGGAGCCCGGAGAUGGGCACUGAGACAAGGGCCCAGGCCCUAUGGGGCGCAGCAGGCGCGAAACCUCUGCAAUAGGCGAAAGCCUGACAGGGUUACUCUGAGUGAUUUCCGUUAAGGAGAUCUUUUGGCACCUCUAAAAAUGGUGCAGAAUAAGGGGUGGGCAAGUCUGGUGUCAGCCGCCGCGGUAAUACCAGCACCCCGAGUGGUCGGGACGUUUAUUGGGCCUAAAGCAUCCGUAGCCGGUUCUACAAGUCUUCCGUUAAAUCCACCUGCUCAACAGAUGGGCUGCGGAAGAUACUAUAGAGCUAGGAGGCGGGAGAGGCAAGCGGUACUCGAUGGGUAGGGGUAAAAUCCGUUGAUCCAUUGAAGACCACCAGUGGCGAAGGCGGCUUGCCAGAACGCGCUCGACGGUGAGGGAUGAAAGCUGGGGGAGCAAACCGGAUUAGAUACCCGGGUAGUCCCAGCUGUAAACGAUGCAGACUCGGUGAUGAAUUGGCUUUAUGCCAAUUCAGUGCCGCAGGGAAGCCGUUAAGUUUGCCGCCUGGGGGAGUACGGUCGCAAGACUGAAACUUAAAGGAAUUGGCGGGGGAGCACCACAAGGGGUGAAGCCUGCGGUUCAAUUGGAGUCAACGCCGGAAAUCUUACCGGGGGCGACAGCAGAAUGAAGGUCAAGCUGAAGACUUUACCAGACAAGCUGAGAGGAGGUGCAUGGCCGUCGCCAGCUCGUGCCGUGAGGUGUCCUGUUAAGUCAGGUAACGAGCGAGACCCCUGCCUCUAGUUGCUACCAUUAUUCUCAGGAGUAGUGGAGCUAAUUAGAGGGACUGCCGUCGCUGAGACGGAGGAAGGAGGGGGCUACGGCAGGUCAGUAUGCCCCGAAACCCUCGGGCCACACGCGGGCUGCAAUGGUAAGGACAAUGAGUAUCGAUUCCGAAAGGAGGAGGCAAUCUCUAAACCUUACCACAGUUAUGAUUGAGGGCUGAAACUCGCCCUCAUGAAUAUGGAAUCCCUAGUAACCGCGUGUCACUAUCGCGCGGUGAAUACGUCCCUGCUCCUUGCACACACCGCCCGUCGCUUCAUCGAAGUUGGUUCUUGGCGAGGUGAUGCCUAAUUGGUACUAUCGAACCUGGGGUCAGCAACGAGGG